UACGUAGGGGGCAAGCGUUGUCCGGAUUUACUGGGCGUAAAGAGCGCGUAGGCGGACGUUUAAGUGUGGCCUGAAAGCCCCCGGCUCAACCGGGGAUCCGGGUUGCAAACUGGACGUCUUGAGGGGGAUAGGGGAAGGUGGAAUUCCUGGUGUAGCGGUGAAAUGCGUAGAGAUCAGGAGGAACACCCGUGGCGAAGGCGGCUCUCUGGGACGGUACUGACGCUGAGACGCGAAAGCGUGGGGAGCGAACAGG
rnacentral:rRNA from 1 species